rnacentral:rRNA from 1 species
AACGCGAAGAACCUUACCUACCCUUGACAUGCCAGGAACUCUGCUGAGAGGUAGAGGUGCCCGAAAGGGAGCCUGGACACAGGUGCUGCAUGGCUGUCGUCAGCUCGUGUCGCGAGAUGUUGGGUUAAGUCCCGCAACGAGCGCAACCCUCGCCCUUAGUUGCCAUCAUUUAGUUGGGCACUCUAAGGGGACUGCCGGUGAUAAGCCGCGAGGAAGGUGGGGAUGACGUCAAGUCCUCAUGGCCCUUACGGGCUGGGCUACACACGUGCUACAAUGGCGGUGACAGUGGGCAGCAAAGGCGCGAGCCUGAGCUAAUCUCAAAAAGCCGUCUCAGUUCGGAUUGCACUCUGCAACUCGAGUGCAUGAAGCUGGAAUCGCUAGUAAUCGCGGAUCAGCACGCUCCGGUGAAUACGUUCCCGGGUCUUGUACACACCG